GAUGAACGCUAGCUACAGGCUUAACACAUGCAAGUCGAGGGAAACGAUAUUGGAAGCUUGCUUCUGAUAGGCGUCGACCGGCGCACGGGUGAGUAACACGUAUCCAACCUGCCGUCUACUCUUGGACAGCCUUCUGAAAGGAAGAUUAAUACAAGAUGGCAUCAUGAGUCCGCAUGUUCACAUGAUUAAAGGUAUUCCGGUAGACGAUGGGGAUGCGUUCCAUUAGAUAGUAGGCGGGGUAACGGCCCACCUAGCUUCGAUGGAUAGGGGUUCUGAGAGGAAGGUCCCCCAGAUUGGAACUGAGCACGGUCCAAACUCCUACGGGAGCAGCAGUUGAGGAAUA
rnacentral:rRNA from 1 species